rnacentral:tmRNA from 1 species
GGGGGCGUUUAUGGAUUCGACGGGGAUAGUUCGAGCAUGGGUUGCGGGUAGUGGGGACGCGUCCGCUUCAUCAACGCUAAAGCCUAUUAAAUGGCAACCAACGUACAAAUUUAGUAGCAGCCUAAGAAACUGUAUACUAAGCUUCUACCAAGCAUCGCCCAUGUGCUAGGAUAGGGGCCCAACUUAAGUGGGAUACGCCGCUUGGUCUCCGCCUGGGGUCGAACGGAAUAAGAUAAUCAGGCUGACCUUAGCGAUAGCCGGUUACGGGGCGCUUGAGUAUCGCUUUCGAUGCUAGUCAUUGCUCGCAAUGACUCUUAGGUGACAUCAAAUCCGUGACUACACCCGUAGAAGCCUGUGUGGCGUUAUUUUCGGACAGGGGUUCAAAUCCCCUCGCCUCCACCA